rnacentral:misc_RNA from 1 species
GAUGAAGAACGUAGUGAAAUGCGAUAAGUAAUGUGAAUUGCAGAAUUCAGUGAAUCAUCGAAUCUUUGAACGCACAUUGCGCCCCUUGGUAUUCCGAGGGGCAUGCCUGUUCGAGCGUCAUUAUAACCCCUCAAGCUCAGCUUGGUGUUGGGGCCUGCUGCACUGGCAGCCCUUAAAAUCAGUGGCGGCGCCAUCUGGCUCUAAGCGUAGUAAUUCUUCUCGCUAUGGAGUCCUGGUGGAUGCUUGCCAUCAACCCCCAAUUUUUCUAUGGUUGACCUCGGAUCAGGUAGGGAUACCCGCUGAACUUAAGCAUAUCAGUAAGCGGAGGA